rnacentral:rRNA from 1 species
UACGAAGGGGGCUAGCGUUGCUCGGAAUCACUGGGCGUAAAGGGUGCGUAGGCGGGUCUUUAAGUCAGGGGUGAAAUCCUGGAGCUCAACUCCAGAACUGCCUUUGAUACUGAGGAUCUUGAGUUCGGGAGAGGUGAGUGGAACUGCGAGUGUAGAGGUGAAAUUCGUAGAUAUCGGAAGGAACACCUGUGGCGAAAGCGGCUCACUGGACCAUUACUGACGCUGAUGCACGAAAGCUAGGGGAGCAAACAGG